UACGUAGGGUGCAAGCGUUAAUCGGAAUUACUGGGCGUAAAGCGUGCGCAGGCGGUUGUGCAAGACAGAUGUGAAAAUCCCCGGGCUCAACCCUGGGAAUUGCAUUUGUGACUGCACGGCUAGAGUGUGUCAGAGGGGGGUAGAAUUCCACGUGUAGCAGUGAAAUGCGUAGAGAUGUGGAGGAAUACCGAUGGCGAAGGCAGCCCCCUGGGAUAACACUGACGCUCAUGCACGAAAGCGUGGGGAGCAAACAGG
rnacentral:rRNA from 1 species